UAUAAGCGACAGUCAGAAAUCAAACACAACACAUACAAGUGGUGUUCAUGGUCAGGUCACUAAGGCCUUUCCAGAAAGUUGAAGACGGCAAAUGAUUUCUAAAUCACUCAAAGAAAAACACUACACACGGUCAGACAACGAGGCAAGCA